GCAUGUGCUUUCAUCAAGACUUUCAAUAUCUACAGGUCUUGUUGGAGGCUGAACAUCAGCUGAGCAGCAUCUGUUGAUAUCCACAGAUGAGGAYGAAGACCCUUUUCUYUGCCUUUCUUUACAACUGUUACAUCUAGGACAAAAACAAUUCUCUUUUUCAAUUUGAGAAAAAAGUAAUGGGUGAAUCAAUAAGGAUGCUGACCUUGCUUUGUUGUCUUCAUUGUUUUCUGCUGACAGUUUAAGAGAUGAUGUUUGACAUCUUAAUUUUGAUGGACAUUUACAAUAUCUGUCACAAYGUUGAAGUUUCACCAGGGAAAUGAUGAUGAUAAUGAGAUUCAAGCCAAGACAAAUAACCUGAAUUAUGAGACAAGGCAUCUGAAAGGAAAUUCAGUCAGAUAUUAUUGGAAACUUCACAAUGAAAUGUUUCAAGGGCAACUAAUUCUGUUUAUUUUACAUAAAUUCAAUGAACUAGCCAACUGCAUGAGCAUUUCCACAUUUCCACAAAACUCCCUGAUUUGUAUGCAGCCUGCAGGCCUUAACAAGCAUGAAUCAAAAUCCAACCCACAAAGACUUGGUUGAUUCCAAAUACGGUUUGACURACCUGAUUCUGUGCAUAUGAUAUGAAGGCCUGGGUGUCUGACUCRGGCUGGUUAAGGUCCACAAUACACAUCUUGAUGCCCGUAAGUAUAAAAGGGAUCCUAAAUGAAAAAAUUAGAACAAAAAAUAAAUGGAUGCAUGAAUAAAAGAAUAAGUACAGUAUGGAAAGAAAGAUGGAUAAAAAAACAAAUGACUGCUUGCAUGCCUCAAUGAGUUGAUAGGAGAAUAAAUAUUGCUAAUGAAUACAUAUACGAAACUGAAUAAAUAAUGAAUAAAUACAUGACAAUGCUCAAAAAUAUGCCAUUUAAGGAAAAGCAAACAAGGGAAAUGACAUAAAUAUUUUCAAAAAUUGAAAAACAAUAUACAAGACUAACCCAAAUCCAUAAGAGUAAAUCCAAGGUUKCCAAAACUUCAUUUUACCAUCRCACCUGACAAGGUAAAGUGCAAAUGGCACCAUUGCUGUCCAGCAAUGACAGAGAAGUUCUGUCACACUUACAAAAAGAAAUGAUACCCAAUGCCAAGCAGUUGAUGGGUGCACAUCACACAGAAGUGAUGUUAUAGCAAASGCCACCUUAAACAAGAAUGAUCAYAAGGAAUGAAAUUAAAAAGGAAAUGAAAAACAAAAACCAUUAACUAAAAGGUGAAUGUUUCAUUUGUCUAGUACAUGAAAUAAUUUAUUCACCUGUGAGAGAACAAGACAAAAUGUAAAUCUUUGAGGAAAUAUCUUGAAGCGUCUUCCAAGAACAAACAUUGCGAUCACCCAAAGCUAAAAGCAAAAUGCUAUCAAUCAACAAUAUUAAAUUUCUGUAUAAAAUAAGGACUUUCUAGAGAAUAUACACGCACACAUGACACAUUAAAAUUAGAAAGCCUUACCCCACAAGUAAUGCUAACCACACAGGAAUCUUGGAUGGUUUCUUUGAUUGUACUGUGAUAAUGAGUGUGAAGUUGUGGUGUGUAUUUUGUUGAAAUCAUUUUUGCKGAGGUGUACAAUAUUGGUGCAGAUAGGAACGUUCCAAGCACCAUGCUUGUGGCAAUCUGGAACAAGGACAAAAGUCUUUAUGAAAACUUUGAAGCAAAAAUGACGACAGUUGGAGCAGUUGGAAUUGUGCCAUAAAGAAAAGCAAACAUACUCCAGGUAUCWGUCAAAGUUUGGUUKCUUCCUCCAACAUCUAGGAGUUGGACAAYUUCACGUGCACAUAGCGGAAGUAGCAUCCUGUCAAAGAAGGAUUUUCUGCUUGAGAGCAAAGUUUGCAAUAAUUCCAAUAAAUGUCAUGAAGACGAUAGGAUUAGUGAUGACUCCUUUGAUUGUUGCCAUAG